rnacentral:rRNA from 1 species
UACGAAGGGGGCUAGCGUUGCUCGGAAUCACUGGGCGUAAAGGGUGCGUAGGCGGGUUUUUAAGUCAGGGGUGAAAUCCUGGAGCUCAACUCCAGAACUGCCUUUGAUACUGAAGAUCUUGAGUCCGGGAGAGGUGAGUGGAACUGCGAGUGUAGAGGUGAAAUUCGUAGAUAUUCGCAAGAACACCAGUGGCGAAGGCGGCUCACUGGCCCGGUACUGACGCUGAGGCACGAAAAGCGUGGGUAGCAAACAGGG